GUGAGUCAUCGAAUCUUUGGACGCACAUUGCGCCCGCUAGCAUUCUGGCAGGCAUGCCUGUUCGAGCGUCAUUUCAACCCUCAAGCGUUAAAUUUUAGUGCUUGGUGUUGGGGCGCUACGGCGGAGGCUUACCUAAGCUUUACGCCGUAGGCUCUGAAAUAUCGUGGCGGACUCGCUGUGGUCCUGAGCGUAGUAUUUAAAAUUUCUCGCUCCGGGUUCCGCGGUGGGCUCUUGCCGGUUAAACACCCCAUAAUAUCAAGGUUGACCUCGGAUCAGGUAGGAAUACCCGCUGAACUUAAGCAUAUCAAUAACGCGGAGG
rnacentral:rRNA from 1 species